CAGCCGCCGCGGUAAUACGAAGGGGGCUAGCGUUGCUCGGAAUGACUGGGCGUAAAGGGCGCGUAGGCGGCGGCCAAAGUCAGGCGUGAAAUUCCCGGGCUCAACCUGGGGGCUGCGUUUGAUACUUGGUUGCUUGAGUGGGGAAGGGGGUCGUGGAAUUCCCAGUGUAGAGGUGAAAUUCGUAGAUAUUGGGAAGAACACCGGUGGCGAAGGCGGCGACCUGGUCCUUGACUGACGCUGAGGCGCGAAAGCGUGGGGAGCAAACAGGAUUAGAUACCCCAGUAGUCCCUGUCUCUUAUAC
rnacentral:rRNA from 1 species